rnacentral:rRNA from 1 species
AUGGCGUCCCUCGACGCAGCGCUCCUACGCGGCCGCUGCCACCGCCCCGCCGCCCGCCGCACUCCUCCUCCGCUGGCCGCGGCCGCCGCCCGCCUCCACUCCUUCGCCUGCCGUGGUUCUCCGUCAGCCGCAACCGCCGCCGCGGCGUCCGCCUGCCUCCGCUCCUUCCCCUGCUACGCUCCUCCGCCCGCCGCAGCCGCCGCGGCCUUCGCUGCCUCAACCAACUUGUUGUUGCGCCUGCGCCGCCGUCGCCCGGCCCCGAGCUCGCCGCGCCCACCACCCGCUCGCCACGCCCCGCCCGGCCCCGAGCUCGCCGCGUCGCCCCCACCCCGAGUUCGCCGUGCCGUGCGCCCUCCCCGAGCUCGCUGCGCCGCAGCCGGCCCCGAGCUCGCCGCGCUCGCCGGCAAGCGACCCGAUCGCGCGGAGCAACGAGGCACCGGCGAGGGUGGUGGGCGCGAAGUAGGCGCCGGCGAGCUGCAACCUUCCCUGCCUCCGUUCGUUGACGAGGCCAACGACGGCGCCCUCGAUCCCAUCUCUUCCGACCGACAUAGAGAGAAGAAAAGGGUAAGGUGCGGGUCACUGAUUUGUGGUGCCAGGGCGGACACGAGAAGCCACCAGCGGAUGGGAGCGGACGACGGGAGCGCUCGCUUUUGUCCGUCGCGGACCCAUUUCUUCCCAUAUUUGUGUUCAGUUUGGGUCGGCGACGGACAGCAAGCGGGCAGCGGGCGGACGCUUUGUCCAUUUAGGUCGUCCCGUUGGGUCAUCUUUUCUGUCCGGAUGACCCAAAUGAAUAAAAUGGGUCGCACCAUUGAAGUUGCUCUGACUGUAAUCGGCACUCUAUGA